GGUGGUUAUACUUUUAACUUGGAUUUGGAGUAUAAGACUUACUCAUAACUACUUCCGUCGCGAGAAUUGGCAAUGGGGACACAGGCAAGAUUGGAGAUUUACAGAUAUGAGCCACCAGUAUGGCAAGAACUGGUGGUGGAUAUCUUUCUUUUUUGUUUAUUUCUCUCAGCAGAUUUUUCUGAUUGGUAUAUGCCUGCCUAUGUAUGUUGUCCACUCUGAAGACAAGCCAUGGAAUAUCUGGGAUUUCAUUGCUGUAUUCAUCUGCUUGUCUGCCAUUAUAAUUGCUUAUUAUGCAGAUACAGAGCUCUACAAUUUUGUGAGCAGAAACCAGAAACUAAAAGAGCUCGGCAAGCCAAUGGUUCCCAAUCUUGAUGAAGGCCUCUGGAGGUAUUCACGACAUCCAAACUAUUUUGGAGAGCAGUUAUGGUGGUGGGGACUCGUCCUAUUUGCCUGGAACUUGGG
rnacentral:misc_RNA from 1 species